rnacentral:rRNA from 1 species
UACGUAGGGGGCUAGCGUUGUCCGGAUUUAUUGGGCGUAAAGAGCGUGUAGGCGGCCAGGUAGGUCCGUUGUGAAAACUCGAGGCUUAACCUCGAGCUGUCGGCGGAAACCAUCUGGCUAGAGUCCGGAAGAGGAGAGUGGAAUUCCUGGUGUAGCGGUGAAAUGCGCAGAUAUCAGGAAGAACACCCGUGGCGAAGGCGGCUCUCUGGGACGGUACUGACGCUGAGACGCGAAAGCGUGGGGAGCGAACAGG